AAAAUCAGAAAAUUCCCUAACACGCUGGUUCUGGGAAAACCCAAAAACCAAUGAGCCAAACGCAAAGGCAAACGCAGACGCAAAAGCUAUAAGCCAUUUUCACAAAUAAUCAAAAUCUUUUACUAUUCCUAUCGAAUUCAAUUCCCCUAAUCCCUUUCUCCCCCGCCGCUGAACCCUCUUCAACGUCCCCGCGGUGCCUCCGCGGGAUUCACUAGGGUUUUCUGAUCGUACCUUUCAAUUUCCACUGUUUUUCCACGACGUCGUUCUCCAAGUCAUGCCUCCGGCGCGUCGACGCGCGGCGAACAAGGCUAAGGCGAACGGACACUUGCGUUUAGGCGAUCUUGUACUAGCGAAGGUCAAGGGUUUCCCUUCUUGGCCUGCCAAGAUAAGUAGGCCUGAGGAAUGGGAGAAAGCCCCUGAUCCAAAGAAAUAUUUUGUUCAAUUCUUUGGCACCGAAGAGAUAGCUUUUGUUGCACCCGCAGAUAUUCAGGUCUUUACAAGUGAGUAUAAAAUUAAGUUGUCUUCACGGCUUCAAGGAAAGACGAGGUACUUUACCCAGGCCGUGAAGGAAAUAUGUGCAGCUUUUGACGAGAUUGAGAAACAGAAGGCCAGUGGUGAUGACACAGAUGAUUCUCGGAUUGAUUCAGAAGCUCCUCCUGUUGAUGAGACAGUGAGUAAUCCAAAGGAUACCACUGAUGCUGUGAUGUCUCAUGCAGAAAAGGAUAACAUCUAUGUGGGUAAUGUUGGCUUCAAUUUGGAGGACUGUUUGUUGAAAACUGGAGAGAGGGUUAGCCCAGAUGAAAAGCUCACAGAGUCUUGCCGUCCAAAUGAAAGUUCUUCUGUUUCAUCACCUUUGGUCAAAAGUAAAUUAUCUACUGGUACAGAGAUAAAGAAGAAUUCCAGCAAACCUACUCUUAAAGGUGCAAGUAAUGUUAAUGAUUUUGGUCAACAUGAUAACGAAAAUAGUGUUUUAACAAAUGGUAGUAAGCCAAGAAAGCAUGUUACUGGUUCAAAGAGGAGAUUUGAAGUUGCAGAUGAUAUAAAUAAAAAUGGUGGAUCAUCUACUGGGACACUUUUGAAGGUGGGAAAAUCUACUGGCAGUGCUGAUCUUUCCAGGUCAGGGGAGACAUUUAAAUCUGGAAAGAAAGGGAAAGAUGCAUCUGCUGUUAAAUUAAAUUCUCCAGAAACUUUUAAACCAGACUCGAAUGGUAGUACUGGAGAAAAAGGUAAGAACUUGAUUUCAAAAAAAGCAAGUCUCGAGGUAAAAAAUGAAUUACAGGAGGCUGAUGGCAAAAAUUCAAGUAUGGGAAAGAAUAACCAAGUUCAUGCAAAGCAUAAUGUGGGAGCAAAUGAAUCCUUACAUGCUACUAAGAAGUUGAAACGCAUGGAGGCCAGAGAUGAUUUAACUUCAGGGCACAUCCCAAAAGAUGUGAAAAGUGCUUUGCCUUGCUCUACUUUUGUCGAAGAGAAAUCAUCUAAAAUUUUAGAGUUGAAAAGGCCCACUUUAAAUUCAAAAACAGAAAAAAGCUCUGGCCAUGAGUUGCUACCAAUGAUCAAACAACAUAGCCAAGUUCAGAAAACUAUGCCUGAUUCUGAUAGAGUUGCUUCUGAUGAUAAAAAAGUUUGGAGCAAUCUUAAACUGAAAGGCGAUACAAAGAAUGUUACGACAAAACAAGCACAGAAGAAACGGAAAGCUGUUUGCCUCAAUGAAGAUGAUGAUGUACCUAAAACUCCUGUUCAUGGAGGAGCUGCAAAAAAUAUCAAGUCGCCUUUUGCUUCAGAGGUCAAGAAGGGAAAUAAUGAACAUUCUGAGAAAUCUGAUGCUGCUAAGCUGGCUCAUAGAAAUUCUAGUGAACUUGAGGAGGCUCAUUUGAAAGGGCUGUCUUCUCAAUUACAUAUUGAUGCAUCAUCAGUUAAGCCCCCUGAAAAAGAGAAAGCCGAUGAAGCCAUUCCUGUGCAUGUUCCUCUUAGUCAUGAUAAGUUAGAUUCGAAGCAGUUUCCCUCUAAGGUGGCAAGAGUAAGCUCUGCUUCCCCAGUAAAAUCACCUCAGCCAGUUCCUGCAACAACAAAGUCAAAUGCUGAGCGGAAUAAAUCUUCCAAACCUUUGCUUAAAGCUUCCAGCAUUGCUACUCUAAAGAAGGCUGACAACGGGUCUUCCAAAUCUUCACAUAACCUCAGCUCUUGUCAAAACCAAGUUUCUGCUCAUAAGAAGAAGCUAGCAUCUUUGGCUGAAAAUUCCAAGACUACUCCAAAGACAUUGCCUCAGGAAGUUGAAGUUCCUGUUUCAACAAUAGAUUUUAAGGAGCCUGAUGCACUGCAUGUGGAUGGAUUGGAAGAGGGUAUGGAAGAAAGAAGUAAUAUAUAUACUGGUUCUGGGACUCCAGAAACAUCUAAGACUAUGAAGCAUCUUAUUGCAGCUGCCCAGGCAAAAUGGAAAAAAGCUCAUUCUCAGUAUCUUUCUUCUGAUAUCCAUAAUGUCCAGGGGGGGACUCCUAGCCCAUCCACAGUUCAGCCAUUUCUCCCUGUCUCAAGGAACUUCGCUCAGACAGAUGUGCAGGGAGUUUAUGAGCUCGCAACUUCGGUUUCUCCGCCAACUAAUGAGUAUCACUCUGCAUCUCAAAAUCAGCUCGAUGCGGAUGAGAUUGAAGAGAGAAGAGUCGGUUCAGUGCAAAGGGAUCCUGAAGGUUCACUCAGUGGGGGUACAGAGGCUGCUGUUGCUCGUGACGCAUUUGAAGGAAUGAUAGAAACUUUGUCAAGGACCAAGGAAAGUAUCGGGCGUGCAACUCGUCUGGCCAUAGACUGCGCUAAGUAUGGCAUUGCCAACGAGGUUGUUGAACUUCUCAUCCGGAAGUUGGAAAAUGAAGCUAGUUUUCAUCGCAAAGUGGAUUUAUUUUUUCUUGUUGAUUCUAUCACUCAGUGCUCACAUAGUCAAAAAGGAAUUGCUGGAGCAUCUUACAUCCCUAUAGUUCAAGCAGCGCUGCCACGUCUUCUCGGUGCUGCUGCUCCCUCUGGAGCUAGUGCCCGUGAAAAUCGUCGUCAAUGUCACAAGGUUUUGAGGCUGUGGCUUGAGAGGAAAAUUUUGCCAGAGUCUGUUAUUCGCCGUUACAUGAAUGAAAUUGGGGUUUCAAAUGAUGAUAUCACAGUUAGCUUUUCCUUCAGGCGUCCGUCUCGUGCCGAGCGAUCUGUGGAUGACCCAAUUAGAGAAAUGGAAGGCAUGCAUGUUGAUGAGUAUGGAAGUAAUGCUACAUUUCAGCUGCCUGGCUUUUUAUCUUGUCAUGCAUUUGAUGAAGACGAAGAGGAAGAAGGUUUACAAAUCAAUUCAUGUAUGGAUAUGUAUGGUACAUCUCCAGCAGAUCCCGCACCCAAGUUUGGAGGAUCAGAUACUCAUACUGUGACCCCAAAUGACAAACGCCAUUGUAUCUUGGAGGAUGUGGACGGUGAGCUAGAAAUGGAAGAUGUUUCAGGUCACCCAAAGGAUGAGAGACCUGUAUAUUGGAAUAGUUCUGAUGAAACUGAUAUGCUUCUUCAGAGCUCAAAUAGGAAUUUGGACCCAACUUCAAAUAUUUCAGAAGACAUAUUGGCUACUCCUGAGGGUUCCCCUCCAUUACCUCUUGAUUCACCCCCUCCAACCCCACCUUUGCCUUCUUCACCUCCCCCUCCUCCUCCUCUAUCAUCUCCAUCUCCUCCCCCACCCCCACCACCUCCAAUGUUGCAACCCCCACCUCUUCCUUUACCAUCCUCAGCCCCACUAGUAUCAUUGGUUCCUCAAUUGUCUGGACUGCCCCGGCCUUCACAUGUCUCCCAGUCAUUAAUGCCACCUCAGUCAUCAUAUCAGUCAUCACCAAAGUUGGGGUAUCAGCAGAAUAUACCUCAUGACUUUAGUAGCUCAACUAGUGGUAACCAAAUAGUUCAAAUGGCUGGUAAUUCUUUUUCUGGAGGUCACACUAAUGCAGUUGUCAAGAAUGAACUAUUUCCACAGCCAUCUGCUUUUACCUUGGCUGCAGGAUGCAGUUCCCAGGAGCCCUCUGGUUUGAACCCUUCAAGACAAUUAGAAUACGGACAUAAUGAUGUGUAUUUAAAUGCUCAAGUUCAUCAACCUAACCAGCAAUAUCAGCAGGGUAACAUUUCAUAUGCUCAGAGACAUGCACAUCCUGCACCAGCCCAAAAUCUAUCAAAUCAGUUCUCAUAUCCAAAUCACACAGUUCAGCAACACCUUCCACAUGCAUUUCAUCCUCCUUUUCCAUUACCAUCUCUUCCAGAUGGCUUGAGGCAAUUCGUUGCUGAUGAGCAAUGGAGAAUGUCAUCGACAAACAAUCAACAUCAAAAUGGUGUAUAUAGAGGGAUAAAUCCUUCAUGCCCUGGUCCUCCCUUUGGACAAGAAGGUUUCCGACCACCACUUGAAAGGCCGCCGUUAAGCAAUGUAGGUUUUCAGCGAGCAAUUUCAAGCACCCUACCUAGUGCACCAGUAUCAGGACACGGUGCUCCACAGAUGUUGCCUUGCAGGCCAGACAUAUCUGCUGUUAAUUCUUGGAGACCCACUUGAAGUUGAUUGGACACUUAUUAAAAUUAAUGUUGUUGCUGGUGGAUCAACACUCACGGCUAUAAAUUGUACCACAAGUUAGAUUUGCCUGUGUUGUACAUACAACUUACCUGUGAAGAGAAUUUUGAAAAGUUGCGGAGGCUUUUGGCAGGAUUGUGUAUAUUGUAUUUUUUCCUGACAAUGUAUCCCAGGAACAUUAGCUUCAAAGUUUAGGCUCAUGUUUCUGACUUGGUUUUGGCAACAAGAAUAGAUGUCAAACCAUUCUUCAUGUUUUGAAUGAUAUAACUCAAUAAGGCAAACUUCAUCCCCUAGAAAGACGGUUGAUAAUUGAGGUAAAUAGUCAUGUAAUUUUAAAACUUACAAUGCUUUUGUUAUUGACUUCAAUUAGAAUGCAAGUGCGCCUAUACAUAAUGUAUAAAAAAAAUACCAGUGAUAUUUAUUGUACAUUACGGUUUCUAGAUUGAUGUUAGAAUUGUUCUCCCACUUUCUUUUUAAAGAAAUCAGAAAUAGGAAAACUACCUAUAUCUUUGAUGUUGCGGCA